UACGAAGGGUGCAAGCGUUGCUCGGAAUUAUUGGGCGUAAAGGGUUGGUAGGUGGUCUUGUUUUGUCUAAGGUGAAAUCCCAUGGCUUAACUGUGGAAGUGCCUUAGAAACGGCAAGACUAGAGUCCUAGAGGGGUUUGUGGAAUUCCCGGUGUAGCAGUGAAAUGCGUAGAGAUGUGGAGGAACACCGAUGGCGAAGGCAGCCCCCCUGGGUCAAGAUUGACGCUCAUGCACGAAAGCGUGGGGAGCAACAGG
rnacentral:rRNA from 1 species